rnacentral:lncRNA from 10 species
CUGAGACAGAGCGCGUGCCAACUGCACCUGCGCGGGGACUGAGUUCUCGGAGAAGGGACCCAAUAGGUAAAUGACUCCAGAAGGUCUUCUCCCAGCAGCCAGAAUAAGACAGGAAAUGAAGCCGCUUUAUUGACAAGAAUGGGUUUCAUUCUGGCAACCUUGAUUAACACAAGAGGAUAUUGAAAGGAUUUGAAGAAAGUUAUCCCGCUGAUUCCUUAACAAGAUGAAAAGAAAAUAAGGCAGAAAAUUCUCCAGCAGAGCUGAGCUGAGGAAACUGAGGCUCAGGGAAAGAGAACUGGCACUUGCUUUUGACCCCAAAUCCUGGCUCUCCUGGCUGCUCUGUGAAAUCCUAAAUCAUGGUAACCCUGGAUACCACCAUACCAGCUUUGGUUGCAUGAUAGAAUUAAGGCCAAUAGCAUCUAUGCUGCAGUGAAGGCAUGGAUGGGAAACUCGCAGUGAAGGAGAGUGUAAUUCAUUGAAAUGACAAAUACAUUGCAUCUGUGCUAUAAACUAUGACUGAAAUGCUUCCUGCUCUCCUUAAGGAAGUGAAUAAGGCCCUUAUAGUGACCCCUACUGCUAAGACUUCUCGUGCCCAUGAAGACUCCUGCACUUCCACUGCUGUUGGAAGCUGAAGGCCAUCAGAAGCCCGCUGUCAAAGAAAAGAGGACAGAAAGAGAGAUGAUAAAUGCCUCCACGGUGGGCCAUUUCCCGUCGUCUACACCCCAGCGACCCUCGAAGGAUUUCUUUGAUUCCCAUCUGAGGGAUGAAAUGAAAGGAGCCUCCUUGAGAGAGGUCAUUUUAAAAUUGGAAACCUGAAAGGUGAGGAAAGACAGUGGGUCCAAUGGCAUUGCAGUGAGCAAAGGACGGGGAGAAGGGGGAAAGCAAAAUUAAUUUGUUUCUCUGUUGGCUUGCAGGUCACUCUUUUCUUCUGCAUGAUGAUGAGAAAUAAUAAAUAAAACAAAAUCUUCUUGCAAAUAAACAUUUUGCUGAAAG